rnacentral:rRNA from 1 species
CCUACGGGAAGCAGCAGUGAGGAAUAUUGGUCAAUGGCCGAGAGGCUGAACCAGCCAAGUCGCGUGAGGGAAGACGGCCCUACGGGUUGUAAACCUCUUUUGUCGGGGAGCAAAGCGAACCACGUGUGGUUCAUUGAGAGUACCCGAAGAAAAAGCAUCGGAUAACUCCGUGCCAGCAGCCGCGGUAAUACGGGGGAUGCGAGCGUUAUCCGGAUUUAUUGGGUUUAACGGGUGCGCAGGCGGAGGUGCAAGUCAGCGGUCAAAUUGCGGGGCCAAACCCCGUACUGCCGUUGAAACUGCAUCCCUUGAGUGCGCGAGAAGUAUGCGGAAUGCGUGGUGUAGCGGUGAAAUGCAUAGAUAUCACGCAGAACUCCGAUUGCGAAGGCAGCAUACCGGCGCGCAACUGACGCUCAUGCGCGAAAGCGUGGGUAUCGAACAGGAUUAGAUACCCCAGUAGUC